UAUUUUUUUUUCCAUUUUAACCAUCACAGUUGGAACUAAGUCUUGAGAGGCUGCCUUCAAUCUUCAUAAAUACAGAAAUGAGCAUGUAUGCAAAUAUACAUGCAUAUAUUAUAUACAUUUGUAAAAGAGCCAUUUAAAAAUCUAAUUUCAGCUGUGCCUUAGAGUACAUGAGGGUGAUUUCUAAAAAAUCUUCAGUACCAGUGGUAGCGUGGGGACUGGCUGGGAAGCGGGCGGUCGAGUGUGUCCUGUGUGGACGCGGAUCCUGCCCGAAGCUGGGCGGAGGAGAACUAAAGCUAAGGUGUUCUCGUGAAGUUCUGACUUUCCAGGGAAUGCUUGUGUUUGAUUAUUAAAUGUCUAUUAUAGGACUUUGGGUGAUCAGCCCAUGACCUAGAUCUCUAGACAAAAUAAAACAGGGAAAAUUUGCUAGAAUCAAGAAUGAUGGAUCCAUGUUCAGUUGAAGUCCAGCUUCGUACUACAAAUGAAUGCCAUAAAACCUACUAUACUCGUCACACAGGUUUUAAGACUUUGCAAGAAUUGUCAUCAAAUGAUAUGCUUUUACUUCAACUUAGAACUGGAAUGACACUUUCUGGGAACAAUGCAAUUUGCUUUCAUCAUGUAAAAAUUUACAUUGACAGAUUUGAGGAUUUACAGAAGUCAUGUUAUGACCCAUUUAACAUACACAAAAAAUUAGCCAAAAAAAAUUUGCACAUAAUUGACUUAGAUGAUGCCACUUUUCUGAGUGCAAAAUUCGGAAGACAGCUUGUACCUGGUUGGAAGCUUUGUCCAAAAUGCACACAGAUAAUCAAUGGAAGUGUGGAUGUUGAUACUGAAGACUGCCAGAAAAGGAAACCUGAGUCAGAUGGAAGAACUGCUAAAGCUUUGAGGUCACUACAAUUUACAAAUCCAGGGAGGCAAACUGGAUUUGCUCCAGAAACUGGUAAAAGAGAAAAAAGAAGGCUUACAAAAAAUGCAACCGCUAGUUCAGACAGACAAGUGAUAACAGCAAAGAGUAAGGUCUGUGAUAGCCAAGGUCUCCUGAUUUUUAGUGGGAUGGACCUCUGUGACUGCCUCGAUGAAGAUUGCUUAGGAUGUUUCUAUGCUUGUCCUGCCUGUGGUUCUACCAAGUGUGGAGCUGAAUGCCGCUGUUACCACAAGUGGCUGUAUGAGCAAAUUGAAAUUGAAGGAGGAGAAAUAAUUCAUAAUAAACAUGCUGGAUAAUCUGUGGUACCAAACUAUGGGGCCUUUAAAGGUCAUUAUUUCUAAAAUUCUGUUACUCUAAGAUACAUUUUAAGCUUGAUUGUCAUAUGACAAAGAUUUUAAAACCACCUCAGUGUACCCUAAUUUUUCAUCUUGGGUGCUUUAAGAUUCACUAUUUGAUAUAAAUUCAGAUAGGCUAUUUUUCAGCCUAUUAAGCCUGUCUGGAUCAAUAUAAACAAGUAGGGUGUAGGCAGUCCUCUAUUUGCAUGUUUCCCUUGGGCACAAAUUUCAGUGACCCAGAUUUAGUUUAAACACCAGUUUCCUUAACAGGAAGGAAAGGAAACUGGUAAGGAAACUGUUGUUAAAAUCUAGGUUAAAAUUUUAGUUAGCACAGUAUAACUCUGAGUAAUUACAUGAAGUACAAACUUCUCUGCUAGUUCUUCAGUCUACAAAUCGCUAUGUAAAUAACAGAUAUACUUCAUGAUUAAUGACCAGUCAUGUUGACUACUUUCAGAUUCUUCCAGUGGUUUGUCCCUGUGUAUCUGUUAUUCAGUUCACUUACAGCAGAGCACGUAGUUAUGCUGUCUCUUUGUCAUCCACUGGACAUUUUAUAGAAGUGAACACUCAAAAGAACUGGCCAACAAAGAUGAAAGUGCAGCAAAGCAAUGAAAAAUGAUAACACUGGAAGUGAAAUUUUAAUCAAACAUAAAUGAAUUUGUAGAAGUCACUGACCAUGGGAAUAUUGUUCUUUCUGCUGUGCAUUCAUAGGAGCUUAAUGAAGGCAAACUUAUCAACACAAAUAAGAAACGUGGUUGCAAUAAAGACAAAUGUGUCCCAGAGGAAGUGAUGGUUAAAAAAAAAAACAAAACUUUACAUUAAAGGAUAUUUAAUGUGAAUA